GAAUAAAAAAUCCUCCGAGCGAUUUUAAAGAUUAGACCUACAAGUCAAAUCACUCUAUCGCUUAUUGAUCCAAAAACUUGAUCAACGGAACA
rnacentral:rRNA from 1 species